rnacentral:rRNA from 1 species
AGAGUUUGAUCCUGGCUCAGAACGAACGCUGGCGGCAGGCCUCAAACAUGCAAGUCUAGGGGGUGUAGCAAUACAUCACCGGCGGACGGGUGCGUAACACGUGGGAAUAUACCUUUUGGUUCGGAACAACGCAGGGAAACUUGCGCUAAUACCGAAUGUGCCCUUACGGGGAAAGAUUUAUCGCCAAAGGAUUAGCCCGCGUCCGAUUAGCUAGUUGGUGAGGUAACGGCUCACCAAGGCUCCGAUCGGUAGCUGUUCUGAGAGGAAGAUCAGCCACACUGGGACUGAGACACGGCCCAGACUCCUACGGGAGGCAGCAGUUGGGAAUCUUGGACAAUGGGGGAAACCCUGAUCCAGCCAUGCCGCGUGAGUGAUGAAGGCCUUCGGGUUGUAAAACUCUUUCGACGGGGACGAUAAUGACGGUACCCGUAGAAGAAGCUCCGGCUAACUUCGUGCCAGCAGCCGCGGUAAUAC